rnacentral:rRNA from 1 species
UACAGAGACCUCAAGCGUUAUCCGGAAUCAUUGGGCGUAAAGCGUUCCGAUAGGUGGUUGAAAUAGUCUUGGGUAAAAGCCAGAAGCUCAACUUCUGCGUUUGCUUAAGAUACUUUUCAACUAGAGGGGCAAAGAGGUGCUUGGAACGAACGGUGUAGUAGUGAAAUGCGUUGAUAUCGGGAGGAACACCGGUGGCGAAGGCGGCCUUCUGGACGGAUACUGACGCUGAUACGCGAAAGCGUGGGGAGCAAACAGG